CUUAAGGUGGCAGAUUAGUGCAGUAGAUUUAAGCUCUAAAUAUGAAGAUUAAAGUUCUUUCCUUAGUA
rnacentral:tRNA from 1 species